GAUGAACGCUGGCGGCGUGCCUAACACAUGCAAGUCGAACGGAGUCCAGCCUUAGAGACCUUCGGGUCAAAGAGGGGAAGACUGAGUGGCGGACGGGCGAGUAACACGUGGGCAACCUGGCUCAUAGAGGGGGAUAACAGAGAGAAAUUUCUGCUAAUACCGCAUAAGCACACACUGCCGCAUGGCAGAGUGUGAAAAGAGAAUCGCUAUGAGAUGGACCCGCGUCUGAUUAGCCAGUUGGCAGGGUAAGAGCCUACCAAAGCGACGAUCAGUAGCCGAUUUGAGAGGAUGAACGGCCACAUUGGGACUGAGACACGGCCCAAACUCCUACGGGAGGCAGCAGUGGGGGAUAUUGCACAAUGGGGGGAACCCUGAUGCAGCGACGCCGCGUGAGUGAAGAAGUAUUUCGGUAUGUAAAGCUCUAUCAGCAGGGAAGAUAAUGACAGUACCUGAAUAAGAAGCCCCGGCUAACUACGUG
rnacentral:rRNA from 1 species